rnacentral:rRNA from 1 species
CCUACGUGAGGCAGCAGUGGGGAAUAUUGGACAAUGGGGGCAACCCUGAUCCAGCCAUGCCGCGUGUGUGAAGAAGGCCCUCGGGUUGUAAAGCACUUUCAGUGAGGAAGAACGCCUGGUGGUUAAUACCCAUCAGGAAAGACAUCACUCACAGAAGAAGCACCGGCUAACUCCGUGCCAGCAGCCGCGGUAAUACGGAGGGUGCGAGCGUUAAUCGGAAUUACUGGGCGUAAAGCGCGCGUAGGUGGCUUGAUAAGCCGGUUGUGAAAGCCCCGGGCUCAACCUGGGAACGGCAUCCGGAACUGUCAAGCUAGAGUGCAGGAGAGGAAGGUAGAAUUCCCGGUGUAGCGGUGAAAUGCGUAGAGAUCGGGAGGAAUACCAGUGGCGAAGGCGGCCUUCUGGACUGACACUGACACUGAGGUGCGAAAGCGUGGGUAGCAAACAGGAUUAGAUACCCGUGUAGUC